UCAAUAAGCGGAGGAAAAGAAACUAACAAGGAUUCCCCUAGUAACGGCGAGUGAAGAGGGAUCAGCCCAAAUUUGUAAUCUGGCUCUUUCAGGGUCUGAGUUGUAAUUUUGAGAACUGUUUUCUGCUCUGGACCAUGUACAAGUCUGUUGAAAUGCAGCAUCAUUGAAGGUGAGAAUCCUGUUUAUGAUAUGGACUACCAGGGCUUUAUGAUACAGUCUCUAAGAGUCGAGUUGUUUGGGAAUGCAGCUCAAAGUGGGUGGUAAAUUCCAUCUAAGGCUAAAUAUUGGUGAGAGACCGAUAGCAAACAAGUACCGUGAGGGAAAGAUGAAAAGAACUUUGGAAAGAGAGUUAACAGUACGUGAAAUUGUUAAAAGGGAAACAGUUGAAGUUAGACUUGUUGUUGUUGGUUCAGCUCUUUAAGGGUGUUUUCUGAUAAUUAACAAACCCACAUCAAUCUUUGGGUGUUGGAUAAGGGUCAUUGAAAUGUAGCAGUUUUGGCUGUGUUAUAGUCUUUGACUUGGAUACAAUGCUUGGGAUUGAGGAUUGCAGUAAGCCAUUUAUUUGGUGGGACAAUUUAU
rnacentral:rRNA from 1 species